rnacentral:sRNA from 1 species
GGUAAGAAACCAAAUAGUUUUCAUCUAAAAUCUUUGAAUGUGAAAAGUGUUCCACCACAGCACGCUGAGAUAAACCCUCAAAGGAGGAUAAGGAUACAUGUUGGAUAUGAAUGAUAACUAAGCCAUCCUAGAAGGAUUUAUAUACCGCUCGUUUUGAAGAGUAUAUAGUCAGCUAUUCCAACAUAAGGGGGACAAUGUAUACAGCUGGUGAAAAAAAAAAGAUAAAAAGAAAUGAAUUAUCAAUGAUCCUCGGAGUAAAUAAUGUAUAUUAAGAGUCUAAAAGAUAAUUCAAUUACAGAAUUUAGCGUUGUAAUUGCCAGACGCAUUUGCUGACCCAAAUAAAGUGAUGAAGUCACCUAUACCAGUUGUAAAUUAAAUGCUCCAGAAUAUAAUGAAUGUCCUGUAAAGACCAAUUUCAAACUGCUAUUGAGUCUUAAGAUCGCAUGAAGCGUAACAGACCUUGGUUCCAAAUAUAAAUAUCCUCGUAAAAGUGAAGGAGCACAAAAUUAAAAAUGACCAAAUUGAGGAAAUAAAUAUUUUGAUGAUCUCUUGAAGAGAGUGAAUGAUCUCUAAAAGAGACAUAAACAUGACAAAUGAAACAUUCAAGUACUUGACAAUGAAGAGAUCUAGCUAGCUAUGUCAUGUCAAAAUAUAAUGGAAUCAAAAGCAAAUCGACGUCGUAAUAUAUUUGCAUGCUAUGAGUAGUUGAUAUUAUAGACAAAAAGGAGGAUCAUGAAAGAAAGUCUAUUGAAAAGUGUACACAAAGUAGUGAUUAGCCAAAAAUGGAAAAGAAGAAAUAGACAUAUAAUUAUAAUCUCUAGUAGAGAUAUUUGGACUAGUAGUCUAUGCACAUGAUGUGUAAAACCAGUGGAAGAUAAAUGAGUCUUUAUGUGAAAGAAUAGUGAAAUUAAUGAGAUUUUCAGAAAGA